rnacentral:rRNA from 1 species
CCCCUCUGUAUCCCAACCGUAACUUGCGGGUAGGGUGCCCUGUAACUACGAGUACCGGGUGCCGGAGUGAAACGUGAAACGUGCCGCCUGGAAGUACGUCGCAAGCUGAACUAAAGAAUGGCGGGGGAGCACACAACGGUGGAGCUGCGGUUAAUGGACUCAACGCCGGGCAGCUCACCGGAUAGGACAGCGGAAUGAUAGCCGGGCUGAAGACCUUGCUUGACCAGCUGAGAGGAGGUGCAUGGCCGUCGUCAGUUCGUACUGUGAAGCAUCCUGUUUAGUCAGGCAACGAGCGAGACCCACGCCAACAGUUGCUAGCAUGUUCUCCGGAAUGAUGAGGACACUGUUGGGACCGCCUCUGCUAAAGAGGAGGAAGGAAUGGGCAACGGUAGGUCAGCAUGCCCCGAAUUAUCCGGGCUACACGCGGGCUACAAUGGUCAGGACAAUGGGAAACGGCACUGAAAAGUGUAGUCAAUCUCCUAAACCUGUCCCAAGUUCGGAUUGUGGGCUGCAACUCGCCCACAUGAAGCUGGAAUCCGUAGUAAUCGCGUUUCAAAAUAGCGCGGUGAAUAAGUCCCUG